GACGAACGCUGGCGGUGUGCUUAACACAUGCAAGUCGAACGGUAAGGCCCUUUCGGGGGUACACGAGUGGCGAACGGGUGAGUAACACGUGAGUAACCUGCCCUCAUCUCUGGGAUAACAGUCGGAAACGGUUGCUAAUACUGGAUAUGAGCCUGCAAGGCAUCUUGUGGGUUGGAAAGAUUUUUUGGUUGGGGAUGGACUCGCGGCCUAUCAGCUUGUUGGUGAGGUAGUGGCUCACCAAGGCUUCGACGGGUAGCCGGCCUGAGAGGGCGACCGGCCACAUUGGGACUGAGAUACGGCCCAAACUCCUACGGGAGGCAGCAGUGGGGAAUAUUGCACAAUGGACGGAAGUCUGAUGCAGCAACGCCGCGGGCGGGAUGACGGCCUUCGGGUUGUAAACCGCGUUCAAUUGUGACGAAGCUUUUUGUGACGGUAGCAGUAGAAGAAGCACCGGCUAACUACGUG
rnacentral:rRNA from 1 species